rnacentral:rRNA from 1 species
GACGAACGCUGGCGGCAGGCCUAACACAUGCAAGUCGAACGAAGUGGCGAACGGGUGAGUAAUACGUGGGUAACAUGCCCUCCUGUUUGGGAUAAGCCUUGGAAACGGGGUCUACUACCGAAUAACGGGGGUUGGGCUCGCGGCCUAUCAGCGUGUUGGGGGGGUGAGGGCCUACCAAGGCGGUGACGGGUAGCCGGCCGGAGCGGGUGACCGGCAACCGUGGGACUGGGAUACGGCCCAGGGUCGGACGGGGGGGGGCAGUGGGGGCUAGUGCACAAUGGGCGAAGGACCCAUGCAGCGACGCCGAGGGGGGGAUGAAGGCUUUCGGGUUGUAAACCUCUUUAGCUAUCGAACGGGUAGGUGGAGAAGAAGCGCCGGCUAACUACGUGCCAGCAGCCGCGGUAAUAC